rnacentral:rRNA from 1 species
UACGGGGGGGGCAAGCGUUGUUCGGAAUUACUGGGCGUAAAGGGCUCGUAGGUGGCCAACUAAGUCAGACGUGAAAUCCCCAGGCUCAACUUGGGAACUGCAUCCGAUACUGGAUGGCUUGAAUCCGGGAGAGGGAUGCAGAAUUCCAGGUGUAGCGGUGAAAUGCGUAGAUAUCUGGAGGAAUACCGGUGGCGAAGGCGGGAUCCUGGACCGGCAUUGACGCUGAUGAGCGAAAGCUAGGGGAGCAAACGGG